rnacentral:rRNA from 1 species
GGGAACGUGCCUUUAGGUUCGGAAUAACUCAGGGAAACUUGUGCUAAUACCGAAUGUGCCCUUCGGGGGAAAGAUUUAUCGCCUUUAGAGCGGCCCGCGUCUGAUUAGCUAGUUGGUGAGGUAAAGGCUCACCAAGGCGACGAUCAGUAGCUGGUCUGAGAGGAUGAUCAGCCACAUUGGGACUGAGACACGGCCCAAACUCCUACGGGAGGCAGCAGUGGGGAAUCUUGCGCAAUGGGCGAAAGCCUGACGCAGCCAUGCCGCGUGAAUGAUGAAGGUCUUAGGAUUGUAAAAUUCUUUCACCGGGGACGAUAAUGACGGUACCCGGAGAAGAAGCCCCGGCUAACUUCGUGCCAGCAGCCGCGGUAAUACGAAGGGGGCUAGCGUUGCUCGGAAUUACUGGGCGUAAAGGGAGCGUAGGCGGACAUUUAAGUCAGGGGUGAAAUCCCGGGGCUCAACCUCGGAAUUGCCUUUGAUACUGGGUGUCUUGAGUAUGAGAGAGGUGUGUGGAACUCCGAGU